rnacentral:rRNA from 1 species
GACGUAGGGGACGAGCGUUGUCCGGAUUCAUUGGGCGUAAAGGGCGCGUAGGCGGCCAGCACAAGUCAGUUGUGAAAUCUCCGAGCUUAACUCGGAACGGUCAACUGAUACUGUGCGGCUAGAGUGCGGAAGGGGCAACUGGAAUUCUUGGUGUAGCGGUGAAAUGCGUAGAUAUCAGGAGGAACACCGGUGGCGAAGGCGGGUCUCUGGGCAACAACUGACGCUGAGGAGCGAAAGCGUGGGGAGCGAACAGG